rnacentral:misc_RNA from 1 species
GUAGGUGAACCUGCGGAAGGAUCAUUAUUGAAUAAUUCUGGCGUGGUUGUAGCUGGCUCUCCGGAGCAUGUGCUCGCCCGUCACCUUUAUCUUUCCACCUGUGCACACACUGUAGUCCUGGAUACCUCUCGCCGCAAGGCGGAUGCAGAGAUUGCUGUUCCUCUCACGAGGACGGCUCUCUCUGAAUUUCCAGGGCUAUGAAUUUUACACACCCCAAUUGUAUGUUAUAGAAUGUCAUCAUAAGGCUUCGUGCCUAUAAACCUAUACAACUUUCAGCAACGGAUCUCUUGGCUCUC